rnacentral:rRNA from 1 species
UACAGGGGGCGCGAGCGUUGCUCGGAAUCACUGGGCGUAAAGCGCACGCAGGCGGACCGUUAAGUCGCAUGUGAAAGCCCGGGGCUCAACCCCGGAAGUGCAUGCGAAACUGGCGGUCUUGAGUACGGGAGAGGUGGGUGGAAUUCCUGGUGUAGAGGUGAAAUUCGUAGAUAUCAGGAGGAACACCGGUGGCGAAAGCGGCCCACUGGCCCGAUACUGACGCUCAUGUUCGAAAGCGUGGGGAGCAAACGGG